AAGGGAGGGGAGUCGAGGCGGAUCCAGAGGUUCUUUCCCUUGCGGUGGACGGAGACGAUGGACUUGCCGGGGAGGGAGGACUCGAAGUCGGCGCGGGAGACGCCAUCGAUGACCUUGGUGUCGUCGGCCGCCGUGCAUUUGAGGAUGCGCUUGCCGAUGCAGUGGUCCUCUAGAGCGCGGCGGGCGGCUUCGACUUCCGGUAGCUCCGGCAUCGUAGCCGGUGAGG
rnacentral:misc_RNA from 1 species